UACGUAGGGAGCAAGCGUUGUCCGGAAUCAUUGGGCGUAAAGCGCGCGUAGGUGGCCCUGUAAGUCCGUUGUGAAAGUCAAAGGCUCAACCUUUGAAAGCCGAUGGAUACUGCAGGACUAGAGUACGGAAGAGGCGAGUGGAAUUCCUGGUGUAGCGGUGGAAUGCGCAGAUAUCAGGAGGAACACCGAUGGCGAAGGCAGUGUUCUGGGCCAGUACUGACGCUGAGGAGCGAAAGCGUGGGGAGCAAACAGG
rnacentral:rRNA from 1 species